CAAUGAAGAAAGUAUUGUAAUGUGCACAUAAAUUAAAUUGGGUCUCUAAACCUGUCCUCUCUGAUGCCAUUCGGCUUUGAUUUGGUGGCAUGGUUUUGCAACAAAACA